CAGAUGCGAUCAUACCAGCGCUAA
rnacentral:rRNA from 1 species